rnacentral:rRNA from 1 species
UUUGGUGGCGAUGCGCUUAGGGGUAACACCCGUUCCCAUCCCGAACACGAUGGUAAAGAACUAAGCGGCCGAUGGUACUGCACUGGAGACGGUGUGGGAGAGUAGGUGGCCGCCAAAU